GAUGAGAACGUAGCGAAAUGCGAUACUUGGUGUGAAUUGCAGAAUCCCGUGAACCAUCGAGUCUUUGAACGCAAGUUGCGCCCGAAGCCAUUAGGCCGAGGGCACGCCUGCCUGGGCGUCACACGUCGUUGCCCCCCCAUCUACUCCUUCGGGAUUGCGGGGGGCGGAUGAUGGCCUCCCGUGCGCCUCGUCGCGCGGUUGGCCUAAAUGCCAAGUCCUCGGCGACGCACGCCACGACAAUCGGUGGUUGCGAAACCUCGGUUGCCCGUCGUGUGCGGUCGUCGCGCAUCGAGGGCUCGAAAAAAUUGCCGGGCUUCGGCUCGACUUUCAACGCGACCCCAGGUCAGGCGGGGUUACCCGCUGAAUUUAAGCAUAUCAAAAGCGGAGGA
rnacentral:misc_RNA from 1 species